rnacentral:rRNA from 1 species
UACGUAGGGGGCAAGCGUUGUCCGGAUUUAUUGGGCGUAAAGAGCGUGUAGGCGGCCAUGUAGGUCCGUUGUGAAAACUCGAGGCUCAACCUCGAGACGCCGAUGGAAACCAUGUGGCUAGAGUCCGGAAGAGGAGAGUGGAAUUCCUGGUGUAGCGGUGAAAUGCGCAGAUAUCAGGAGGAACACCGGUGGCGAAGGCGGGUCUCUGGGCAACAACUGACGCUGAGACGCGAAAGCGUGGGGAGCAAACAGG